rnacentral:lncRNA from 1 species
AGAGGAAAUCAGUCACGAUCUGACUUCCCUCCUUCCUUUCCCUGAGCAUAAGCGCUGGGAACCCCAAACCCACUCCCCCAAAUCACCACACAGAGAACACUACUCUCUCCUAGCAGGAACAUUUCUUGAGGACGAUCAGUAUCCUUGGUUGUGCUAACCAUGGUUCUCAUCAGAGGAUGUGUUCUCGUGAAAACUGCAAUGCUUUCUCAACAAGGACUGAAUGAUUUCUUUGGGGACAUUUUUCCUCCCUGGAAGUGUUGGAGAAGCAUUUCCUGUUUGAAUAGAAGAGUCAGAUCUCUGAACACAGUGCUUUCAUUAGAGGAUCUUCCCGAUGGCUGCCAUGAGCUCAUGAGCUUCAGGAGGCCCACAGCUCACGAGAGCUUCACUUUGAGCUGGGUCUCAGAGCGGUGCAAAGGUUGACGUGAACUUGGCUUUUUGCUGGGGACUUUCCUGCCCUGUGAUUUUUUUCUUGGAAUUAAUCCACUGGAAAAAACUGCCUCAUUAUUUUUCUGAAGUAACUUUCAGGAGGAAACUGUUCGUUCUGUGACAGAUACGGGGAAGUGCCCUCUAAUUCUCUGUCCUCAAUAGAGUGGCUCUUCUUUCUGGCUUUAGACGUCCCAACUCCUGAAUCGUCGCUUCCACAUUCUCCUGCUCUGGAGUCCAGAGGUCUCACUGUCUUUGCAGCUGGUGGGAAAUUCCUAUCCUGGCAUUUCCAUGAGACAUGCUUAGAGGCCCAGGGUUCCCGCUAAUCUCCAUUGUCCUCCAAGUGGACUUGCAGCACCUGGGAAGCUCCCAUGUCCCCACUGGAGACGCUCUGGGACUGAGUCAGUGAGGAGUCGAAGGCAAGCUAUCUGAAGUAAGGGAUAUGUCAGCGGGAGAGCCUUUAGGCUGGCUAUGUUCCUUGCUCUUCAAUUGAAACUUCAACUCGGUAGGGAGCUGUUUUUUAAUGUCUGAUGGUUUGGAAUCUUGGGGAACUGCUAUUUUUGGUGAGGGACAUUCACUGGUCAGGGUAGUUUCUACUUUGCUCACAUUGAUAUUUACCAUUUGGGAGCUUCCCAACUUGUUGCUUGUCAAGAUGUCACAAGGAUUGUGAUGUAAGAACCGCACAGCUCCUCAGCC